rnacentral:rRNA from 1 species
AUACUUAGGGUGCAAGCGUUAAUCGGAAUUACUGGGCGUAAAGCGCUCGUAGGCGGCUUAGUCAGUCGGAUGUGAAAGCCCUGGGCUCAACCUGGGAACUGCAUACGAUACUGGGCUAGAGUAUGGUAGAGGAUAGUGGAAUUCCAGGUGUAGCGGUGAAAUGCGUAGAUAUCUGGAGGAACAUCAGUGGCGAAGGCGACUGUCUGGACCAAUACUGACGCUGAGGUGCGAAAGCGUGGGGAGCAAACAGGAUUAGAUACCCCAGUAGUCC